AUAAAUAGAUGGUCAGGAAAUGAUCAAUGCAUGAAAAGAAUAUGUUAUAAACCCAAUUCCUUUUUUCUACCAUCCGAAGAAAGUUGAUGGUCAGAAAAUGGACAAUGCAGGAAAAGAAUAUGUCAUAAACCCAAUUCCUUUUUUCUACCAUCCGUAGAAAGUUGAUGGUCAGGAAAUGGACAAUGCAGGAAAAGAAUAUGUUAUAAACCCAAUUCCUUUUUUCUACCAUACGAAGAAAGUUGAUGGUCAGGAAAUGGACAAUGCAGGAAAAGAAUAUGUCAUAAACCCAAUUCCUUUUUUUUACCAUCCGAAGAAAGUUGGCAAGUUUCAGUAACAUGUAGAAAUGGAUAAAUCUUUUGUUACAAAUUGAAAUUUUUAUCGGUCUAUAAUUCUUUUAUUUUAUC